AAUCCAAAGCUCCCAGGGGUAAUCCCAGUCUUUUCACUCUGGAGUGAUGAUUUCUCCACCGGUGACACCACUCGCAUAGAUUCACCCCAGGUGAAAGGUAGAAUCUCUGUAGCAAAGCUGCUCCGAUAUUCUUCGUUCGCCCCCCACCGAAACGUUACGUAUCGGAAAUGUCGGCUCGUGUGCCUGCCAGAAAACGUUUCGAGUUUUGGGCGUUUCGGUAUCGGAGACAUUUUUGUACUUCAUGGAUGGAAAGGUUCCCCAAACUAUUGUCACCGACCAUGAUCUACGUCUUAAAGAAGCGGUUGCUGCUGAAAUGUCAAACACAAAACACGCAUUCUCUGUUCAACUCAUAGAUGUGAAGUUCUUUGAUUGGUUAUGCAGAGUCGGGCCCCAUUAUGAUGAAUGGAAGGUGGAAUUCUAUAGGAUUUAUAGGCUAGAGACUGAGGAGUUUGAACUGGGAUGGAGAAAGAUGGUUGAUGCAUUCGGCUUACGUUCAAAUGCCCACAUUGCUAGUUUGUUUGAAUUACAUACAUUCUGGGCACUGCCAUAUUUGAGAAGCCAUUUCUUUGCAGGAAUGACGAUGGACCAAACAGAGGCAGGAAAUGGCUUCAUCCAACGAUUCUUGAGAGGAAUGACGCAAUGACGCGCCUUUCACAUUUCCUACAGCAGGCACCGUUCAGUGAUAUUAGAGAUCAACGGGUGGGACAUCCAACGAUGCAACAAAAGAUCUCAGACAUUCAGCUCAAAGCAGCAGCACCCACUGAAUCAUAAUCAUCUGUCAGCCUCACACCAUACGCCUUCCACAUGCCCCAGGAAGAGCACACGUCAGCUGGAUAAUACACAUUUUUCCAGAUGAAAGAAGGCUAUUUUCUUGGGAGACACCAUACGAAGAUUGGCGGUGGCCACAAGGUGAUUUGGGUGGCUUCCAACUAAUCCCUUAGCUGCAAUUGCUGUCUAUUUGAGUUCUCGGGGAUCCUAUGCCGACGCGCUCUCCAUGUUCUUUCAGUCACUAACUGCUUCCGCAUCCCCGACCAGUAUCUACCUAGAUGUUUGGCUGCAUUACUUCAAUGCCUCCAAAACCCAUCCAUAUGCACCCAAGGGACUUGCCAAGCGGGUUCAAGUUCUACAGUCUAUUUGCUUGGACUAUUAUAAUAGAAUCCACCUAGACAGAGGAAUGCUUCGAUUGUACUAAUCAACACUUUGUGGGUCUUUUAUCCCAUCUUAAAGAGCAGCAUUCCGUACAAGAUGUGAGAGACUGCGAUGGAUGGGUGGGGUGGCGAAGGCAUUGAUUGGACCUUGGACGGAAUAUGCCAAUGGUAUUAUCCAAGGUUCAAUGACCGUUGGAUGGGAGGAUUUGGAAUUUGUGGCAGAUGGUGGUAAAAAAAGUAAAAGAUGUAGAUAGGGGCCUCGUUAUGAUCAAUGUGGGGACAUGACCCACGAAGAGGAGUGAAAGGUAAGGGAGGGGAUUUGAGUUUGGUUUGUUUUAGAGCUAUCAAAAUGUAUCUAUGGAUGAAUGAUGAUGGUGUUUUCGUGGAAAUGUUUAAUUCUUUUA